AUUGAACGCUGGCGGCAGGCUUAACACAUGCAAGUCGAGCGGGGUGAUGGUGCUUGCACUAUCACUUAGCGGCGGACGGGUGAGUAAUGCUUAGGAAUCUGCCUAUUAGUGGGGGACAACAUCUCGAAAGGGAUGCUAAUACCGCAUACGUCCUACGGGAGAAAGCAGGGGAUCACUUGUGACCUUGCGCUAAUAGAUGAGCCUAAGUCGGAUUAGCUAGUUGGUGGGGUAAAGGCCUACCAAGGCGACGAUCCGUAGCGGGUCUGAGAGGAUGAUCCGCCACACUGGGACUGAGACACGGCCCAGACUCCUACGGGAGGCAGCAGUGGGGAAUAUUGGACAAUGGGGGGAACCCUGAUCCAGCCAUGCCGCGUGUGGGAAGAAGGCCUUAUGGUUGUAAAGCACUUUAAGCGAGGAGGAGGCUCUUUUGGUUAAUACCCAAGAUGAGUGGACGUUACUCGCAGAAUAAGCACCGGCUAACUCUGUGCCAGCCGCCGCAGUAA
rnacentral:rRNA from 1 species